rnacentral:rRNA from 1 species
AUUGAACGCUGGCGGCAGGCUUAACACAUGCAAGUCGAGCGAGCGGCGGACGGGUGAGUAAUGUCUGGGAAACUGCCUGCUGGAGGGGGAUAACUACUGGAAACGGUAGCUAAUACCGCAUACCAUCAGAUGUGCUCAGAUGGGAUUAGCUAGUAGGUGGGGUAAUGGCUCACCUAGGCGACGAUCCCUAGCUGGUCUGAGAGGAUGACCAGCCACCCUGGGACUGAGACACGGUCCAGAAGCCUACGGAAGGCAGCAGUGGGGAAGAUUGCACAAUUGGGGCAAGCCAGAUGGAGCCAGGCCGCGUGUGUGAAGAAGGCCAUCGGGUUAUAAAGCACUUUCAGCGAGGAGGCGUUACUCGCAGAAGAAGCACCGGCUAACUCCGUGCGAGGCGCCGCGGGAAUUC